GCUCCUACCGAUUGAGUGAUCCGGUGAAUUAUUCGGACUGACGCAGUGCUCAGCUUAUGGACGUUGCGUUGGAAAGUUUCAUGAACCUUAUCACUUAGAGGAAGGAGAAGUCGUAACAAGGUUUCCGUAGGUGAACCUGCAGAAGGAUCAAGAUCGGAAGAGCGUAGGGUCGGGAUAGAGUGUAGAUCUGUGUGUUUGCCGGAUCAUCAAAAAAAAAAAAAAAAAAAAUAGACAUAAUGAGAAUGAUGCCAUGAUAGUACACUUGUGAACAGGAUC
rnacentral:misc_RNA from 1 species